rnacentral:rRNA from 1 species
UACGUAGGGUGCGAGCGUUAAUCGGAAUUACUGGGCGUAAAGCGUGCGCAGGCGGCUUUGCAAGUCAGAUGUGAAAUCCCCGGGCUCAACCUGGGAACUGCAUUUGAGACUGCAAGGCUAGAGUACGGGAGAGGGGGAUGGAAUUCCGCGUGUAGCAGUGAAAUGCGUAGAUAUGCGGAGGAACACCGAUGGCGAAGGCGAUCCCCUGGGCCUGUACUGACGCUCAUGCACGAAAGCGUGGGGAGCAAACAGG